rnacentral:RNase_P_RNA from 1 species
GCGAUGAACCGUUCAGCCGCGGCGGCCUCAAGAAAGCCCCCUAACGGGGGCAUGAGCGCCGUCCGAGGAAAGUCCGGGCUCCGCAGGGCAUGAUGCCGGGUAACACCCGGGCGGAAAACACGGAUCGGAUUGGGGCUUAGCCCCUGAAGAUAUCCUGUUUUCCGACAGACAGCGCAACAGAAAGCAAACCGUGAAGAAGGGCUGCGGUCCUUCCCACAAGGGUGAAACGGCGGGGUAAGAGCCCACCGCGGUACCGGCAACGGUAACGGUCAGGCAAGCCUCAUCAGGAGCAAAAUCAAGCGGCGCCGCAAAAGCGUGAGUUUUUGUGCCAAUUGCCCGUUGGUCAAGCGCAGGUAGAUUGCCGGGGGCAGCCCCGGAGGCCGUCCGUAAGGCCGGCCCAAGACAGAUGGCUGAGGGAGCCGCCCCCGGGCGGCUCUAUCAACAGAACCCGGCUUAUGGUUCAUCGUUUUU